rnacentral:rRNA from 1 species
AGCGAACGCUGGCGGCAGGCUUAACACAUGCAAGUCGAGCGGGCGUAGCAAUACGUCAGCGGCAGACGGGUGAGUAACGCGUGGGAACAUACCUUUUGGUUCGGAACAACACAGGGAAACUUGUGCUAAUACCGGAUAAGCCCUUACGGGGAAAGAUUUAUCGCCGAAAGAUUGGCCCGCGUCUGAUUAGCUAGUUGGUGGGGUAAAGGCCUACCAAGGCGACGAUCGUUAGCUGGUCNGAGAGGAUGAUCAGCCACAUUGGGACUGAGACACGGCCCAAACUCCUACGGGAGGCAGCAGUGGGGAAUAUUGGACAAUGGGCGCAAGCCUGAUCCAGCAAUGCCGCGUGUGUAAAGAAGGUCUUCGGAUUGU